rnacentral:rRNA from 1 species
GGAAUAUUGGACAAUGGGCGCAAGCCUGAUCCAGCCAUGCCGCGUGCAGGAUGACGGUCCUAUGGAUUGUAAACUGCUUUUAUACAGGAAGAAACAGCUCUACGUGUAGAACCUUGACGGUACUGUAAGAAUAAGGAUCGGCUAACUCCGUGCCAGCAGCCGCGGUAAUACGGAGGAUCCAAGCGUUAUCCGGAAUCAUUGGGUUUAAAGGGUCCGUAGGCGGUCAGAUAAGUCAGUGGUGAAAGCCCAUCGCUCAACGGUGGAACGGCCAUUGAUACUGUCUGACUUGAAUUAUUAGGAAGUAACUAGAAUAUGUAGUGUAGCGGUGAAAUGCUUAGAGAUUACAUGGAAUACCAAUUGCGAAGGCAGGUUACUACUAAUUGAUUGACGCUGAUGGACGAAAGCGUGGGUAGCGAACAGGAUUAGAUACCCUUG